rnacentral:tRNA from 1 species
GCGCCUGUAGCUCAGAAGGAACAGAGCAGCGGUUUCCUAAACCGCGUGUCGGGGGUUCGAUUCCCUCCAGGCGCACCA